CGUGAAAUAUCCAGUAAAAUCAAGUGGAGUGAAAAAUACGGGAUACAGUGGAACUUCUGCACCAACUCGACAAACUAGAGAAGUGCAUGGGAUUAGUAGAGAUGACGCAGAUAGAAUAAUAAGGAGCAUAGAGUCUUUUAAACCAAUUUCACGUAUCGAAGAGAUUUGUAAGCGGCGUUAUGUUUGUGAAUCGGAUGUUCGAGCAAGACACAGCGUGGCUGCAGCUUAUCAACUAUAUUUCUUUGGUCGUGAAGGAUUAGCAAAAUACCGAGAUCGAACACAACCUAAACCACGAACAUAUGAAGAAUGUGCUCAAUUAUACAAAGAAUGCAGUGAUCCAA